rnacentral:rRNA from 1 species
CCUACGGGAGGCAGCAGUGGGGAAUUUUGGACAAUGGGCGCAAGCCUGAUCCAGCCAUGCCGCGUGCGGGAAGAAGGCCUUCGGGUUGUAAACCGCUUUUGUCAGGGAAGAAAUCCUUUGAGAUAAUACCUCGGAGGGAUGACGGUACCUGAAGAAUAAGCACCGGCUAACUACGUGCCAGCAGCCGCGGUAAUACGUAGGGUGCGAGCGUUAAUCGGAAUUACUGGGCGUAAAGCGUGCGCAGGCGGUCUUGCAAGACAGAUGUGAAAUCCCCGGGCUCAACCUGGGAACUGCAUUUGUGACUGCAAGGCUAGAGUACGGUAGAGGGGGAUGGAAUUCCGCGUGUAGCAGUGAAAUGCGUAGAUAUGCGGAGGAACACCGAUGGCGAAGGCAAUCCCCUGGACCUGUACUGACGCUCAUGCACGAAAGCGUGGGGAGCAAACAGGAUUAGAUACCCUGGUAGUCCACGCCCUAAACGAUGUCAACUGGUUGUUGGACGGCUUGCUGUUCAGUAACGAAGCUAACGCGUGAAGUUGACCGCCUGGGGAAGUACGGCCGNAAAGGUUGAAACUUCAAAUUGAAUUGACGGCUUGNGAGNGCGAGCGACACGAGGAGAGG